rnacentral:rRNA from 1 species
UGAGGAAUAUUGGACAAUGGAUGGAAAUCUGAUCCAGCCAUGCCGCGUGCAGGAAGACGGCCCUAUGGGUUGUAAACUGCUUUUAUAUGGGAGCAAUAAGGCCUACGUGUAGGUUGAUGAGAGUACCAUAUGAAUAAGCACCGGCUAACUCCGUGCCAGCAGCCGCGGUAAUACGGAGGGUGCAAGCGUUAUCCGGAUUUAUUGGGUUUAAAGGGUGCGUAGGCGGUUUGAUAAGUCAGCGGUGAAAUAUUUCAGCUUAACUGGAAGGGUGCCGUUGAUACUGUCAGGCUUGAAUUUAGUUGCUGUGGGUGGAAUGUGUGGUGUAGCGGUGAAAUGCAUAGAUAUCACACAGAAUAUCGAUUGCGAAGGCAGCUCACAAAGCUAAAAUUGACGCUGAUGC